rnacentral:pre_miRNA from 1 species
UGGUGCCGUGCCGCAGCUGGUGUUGUGAAUCAGGCUGAUCCUCUCCUGCUCCUCCGCCGCUUCACAGCACCGGCACGGCACGGCC